AUGGCGAUAGUAACCAGUUUUCUAAAACAGGGGAACUGGGAAACAAAAACUAAACACAUGACAGAAAUAGGUUUCCUCAAACUGGGAAAAUACCGAUUUCUUCUUCGAAAUUUCAGAUUUUCAGCUUUUCAGAAGUGUUUUUUAAAUAAGCUGUUUUAUAGGAAAAGAUCACAUAAGCUUCCAGAAUGCAUUUGA